rnacentral:rRNA from 1 species
UACAGAGGGUGCAAGCGUUGUUCGGAAUUACUGGGCGUAAAGCGCGUGUAGGCGGUCUGGCAAGUUGGGUGUGAAAUCCCUCGGCUCAACCGAGGAACUGCAUUCAAAACUACCAGACUUGAGUAUCGAAGGGGGUGGCGGAAUUCCCGGUGUAGAGGUGAAAUUCGUAGAUAUCGGGAGGAACACCUGUGGCGAAGGCGGCCACCUGGAAGAUUACUGACGCUGAGACGCGAAAGCUAGGGGAGCAAACGGG